AAUUUAGAAAAAGUCAUUACAUAACUAUAAAAUAUUUAAUAAAAUUUCAAGACAAAAUUUUGUAAACAAAUGAUACAACCGGUCGAUAGUUCUAAUGUUAAGGAUAUAUAUAAUAAUUUUGAUUUCGCCUUAUAUCUUUCAAUUUGUUUUGUAUUUGCAGACUGUUUACAAGAUUUGAAAUUGUACGUUGACAAACUCUUAACUGUUUUGCCAACUCCCUUUAAGGUAUAUCCAGGUUUUCAUAGAUCAAACGUACUAAUUCUUCAUCCUUCCAUUCUCUACAUAGUCUUCUUAAGAAAGGUCUUUUUAAAGUUGAAAUCACCACUGCUGAAGCAAUUAUACCACUUACAACAUGUUUUUAAGGUUAUAUUAUCCUCGCUAUAAGCGUGUAAGAGCAUUUGGGAAGCCAAGUCGAGGAUUUUUUUUAUUAAUAAAAUGAUAAAUUAACACUUGCAAAUGACGAAUAGUUGGUUUAUAAACUGACAUUUCUAAUUGGAAAUAACUAUAUGAUGUAAACACAAAUUAACUACUGAUACUAUCAAGUUAUGUUCACAAGAUGUUCAAGAGUUUUGCUAGCUGUAUAUAAUGAGGAGUUUACGUAACGUCUGACAGCACCCCUAACGCCAGCUAAUCAUAUAUCUCA